UUUUUUUAGAAUAAAAAAAAAUUAUACUAUAGAUGUAGAAAAAAUAUUCUAAAAGAUGUUUGAAUGCUUCAAAAACACUCCAGCAAAAUAAGGCAUAGUUAAACUAUACCAUAAAAAAUAAGGUAAAAUUAAUAUCUAAUUUUUUUUCUGAAAAAAAGUUAUGUCACUUUUCAGGCCGCCUCUCCACUCGCCCGACUUUCUCUCGCUUG
rnacentral:lncRNA from 1 species